ACGGAAGGCAGCAGUGGGGGAUAUUGCACAAUGGGGGAAACCCUGAUGCAGCGAUGCCGCGUGAGGGAAGAAGGUUUUCGGAUUGUAAACCUCUGUCUUUGGUGACGAAGAAGUGACGGUAGCCAAGGAGGAAGCCACGGCUAACUACGUGCCAGCAGCCGCGGUAAUACGUAGGUGGCAAGCGUUAUCCGGAAUUACUGGGUGUAAAGGGAGCGCAGGCGGGACUUCAAGUCAGCGGUGAAAAUUAUGGGCUCAACCCAUAAACUGCCGUUGAAACUGUAGUUCUUGAGUGGAGUAGAGGCAGGCGGAAUUCCGAGUGUAGCGGUGAAAUGCGUAGAUAUUCGGAGGAACACCAGUGGCGAAGGCGGCCUGCUGGGCUCUAACUGACGCUGAGGCUCGAAAGUGUGGGGAGCAAACAGGAUUAGAUACCCUGGUA
rnacentral:rRNA from 1 species